rnacentral:rRNA from 1 species
UACGAAGGGGGCUAGCGUUGCUCGGAAUCACUGGGCGUAAAGGGUGCGUAGGCGGGUCUUUAAGUCAGAGGUGAAAUCCUGGAGCUCAACUCCAGAACUGCCUUUGAUACUGAGGAUCUUGAGUUCGGGAGAGGUGAGUGGAACUGCGAGUGUAGAGGUGAAAUUCGUAGAUAUUCGCAAGAACACCAGUGGCGAAGGCGGCUCACUGGCCCGUUACUGACGCUGAGGCACGAAAGCGUGGGGAGCAAACAGG